UCCCUGGUGGCUUAGACAUAAAGAAUCUGCCUGCAAUGCAGGAGACCUGGGUUUGAUCCCUGGCUUGGGAA
rnacentral:tRNA from 1 species